AGAGUUUGAUCAUGGCUCAGAACGAACGCUGGCGGCAGGCCUAACACAUGCAAGUCGAACGCUCCAGCAAUGGAGAGUGGCAGACGGGUGAGUAACGCGUGGGAACCUUCCCAGUGGUACGGAAUAGCCCAGGGAAACUUGGGGUAAUACCGUAUAAGCCCCAUGGGGGAAAGAUUUAUCGCCAUUGGAUGGGCCCGCGUCGGAUUAGCUAGUUGGUGAGGUAAUGGCCUACCAAGGCGACGAUCCGUAGCUGGUCUGAGAGGAUGACCAGCCACACUGGGACUGAGACACGGCCCAGACUCCUACGGGAGGCAGCAGUGGGGAAUAUUGGACAAUGGGCGCAAGCCUGAUCCAGCCAUGCCGCGUGGGUGAAGAAGGCCUUAGGGUUGUAAACCCCUUUCAGCGGGGAAGAUAAUGACGGUACCCGCAGAAGAAGCCCCGGCUAACUCCGUGCCAGCAGCCGCGGUAAUACGGAGGGGGCUAGCGUUGUUCGGAAUUACUGGGCGUAAAGCGCGCGUAGGCGGACCUGCAAGUCAGGGGUGAAAUCCCGAGGCUCAACCUCGGAACUGCCUUUGAUACUGCGGGUCUCGAGUCCGGGAGAGGUGAGUGGAAUUCCUAGUGUAGAGGUGAAAUUCGUAGAUAUUAGGAAGAACACCAGUGGCGAAGGCGGCUCACUGGCCCGGUACUGACGCUGAGGGCGAAAGCGUGGGGAGCAAACAGGAUUAGAUACCCUAGUAGUCC
rnacentral:rRNA from 1 species